rnacentral:lncRNA from 1 species
CAAAAUAUGUGUAUCUCAAUGUUCGCCUUUUAAGUUCUUGGUGUAUUCCAUCUUCAGUGGGUUGAAUCUUUGUCUUAAUGCAAUUGUUUUUACCUUUGCAAAUGAAGUAUUAGUAGAUGAACAACUUCCCCUCUAAGCUGCCCUCCACCUGCUGAAGAAUAUGAUUUCAUAUUAAUGACAUUUUUACAUCUUUGAUCAUCCCCUUCCCAGACCCAAAAGAAAAAGGAAAUAAACCUCAAUUACUCAUUAAAACAUUGGUCUUCCUUUAUCUGUCUUUAUUGAAUUUGUCAGUUGAAAAUGAAUGUAAAUUUCAGGCUUUCUUGGUUCUUUUACAAAAAGAUUUAGAUGAUACACCAAGAUGGUGUCUACUUUACCAAGUAGACGUUGAAUCUGAUCUGGAUACUCGAUUUUCCUACAACAAUAGGGUAUUUUCCUACCUGAAAAACAGAAUUAUUUAGCUACUUCCCCCCCUCUUUCGUAAAAUCUCAUUUAUAACUUGACUACUUAUUUGGAUGUGACAGUAAUGAGUGCUUCAUCGAUUUCACUUGCUGUAAAUUUGUUCUGUGGUAGUAGUGUCAGUUUAUCUUAGGUUGUUUUAAUGGUAACGUUUUAUUUUUGUUGUUUGAUGGUGAAUAUUUUAAUCAGAUUAUGCAUGAAGAGAACCUUGAUAAUCCGCUUCUCAUGGCAUUGCGGCAGAGGAUCCUAGAUCAUGCUGAUGAUAUGGAAACUUUUGUUUUGAAACUUGUCCCCAGUACUGGUCUGGCAAAGGCCUUGGACUUAGCCAAGGUAGCAAUAGGGGUUGUCUCUUCCCAUGUUGAAGGAGAUGAAUCAACUGAAAAUUGUCCAAUAUGCUGCGAGGAUAGACUGUUAGUGAUGGUGACGACAUUGAAAUGUACCCACAAGUUCUGUUCUCACUGUAUGAGAACUUAUGUUGAGGGUAAAGUCCAAUCUGGUCAAGUACCCAUUAGGUGCCCUCAGCUAAAAUGCAAAUACCUCAUCUCUGCAACUGAAUGUAUAUCUUUUCUCCCUCUUAACUCCUAUGGAUCUCUAGUGAGGGUCCUUGAAGAAGCGAAUGCUCUCAACUCGGACAAGCUUUACUGCCCGUAUCCAAAUUGUUCUGUUCUUUUGGAUCCUCAUGACUGUAUGUCCACUCGGGCUAGUUCAUCAAGCCAGUUAGAGAAUAGUUGUGUGGACUGUCCAGUUUGUCAAAGGUUUAUGUGUGUGGAUUGUAGGGUCCCAUGGCAUUCUUCAAUGACUUGUGAAGACUACCAAAAUCUCCCUUUGGAGGAGAGGGAUGCUGGUGACAUAACUUUGCAUCGCCUGGCACAAAAUAAGAGAUGGAGGCGCUGUUCACAGUGCAGGAGGAUGAUUGAGCUCACACACGGAUGCUAUCAUAUGACAUGCUGGUAAUAUAUUUUGUUCCUUUUAACUUUUUAAUGCAAGAUUCAGGAUCCUAUAUUGGCUUCUGAAUCAGUGAGAAUAGUACCUUGAUAUUCUGAACCUGUUAGCUACAUCUUUAUGUUUUCAUAUCAUGUACUUGUAGAUCCUUAUCUGAUUAAUAUUUCCUGAAAACUGAUGUUGAGAUUUUGGAACAUAAGCUCUAAGUCCCAAAUACUCAUUAUUAGACAAAAGCACUAUUAAACUCAGGAGCUUGGAAACCGAGGAUUCUUCUAAGUACGUGGAAAUGAAGUGUUGGUUCUCCAGGAAUGAUCGACUAUAUCUGAUACAAAGAGAACUAUCUUUCCUCUUUAUAUUCCGUUACCGUCCUGCAUGAGAAUCAUCGAGGAGUAUUGGUUUUUUCCUUUUACACUAUCAGAAAAUAAGUUCUUUUUUAGCACUUCAUGUAGGGAAGUUCUUUUAACAUAUAUAUUGCUUCUUGCAUUUUAUCUGCACCUCAUCUAAUUGCCUAUAUGUUGUAAAAGCGAAAAUCAAAGUUUUCUUAUUGGGAGAUUCUGGAAUAGGAUGGCUGGUAUUGCUGGUAGUGCUAAUAAAUGUACUGGUUUAUCAACCCCUGAAUGGUGAACCUACACAAUCUAAAUAGUGUUGGAGGUAUCUGCUUAUUCACUGGUGUUAAUUUUCCCAUACCCGUACAUUGUAAACUAUGAAAGCUUAUUCUUUAAUAACACAGUAUGAUAUUGAAUCUUUAGUUGUCUUGUUGGAAAAAAAAAUGUACAUACAUAUGUACUGUAUGUGUAUAUGUACAUAUACACACACAUAUAUAUGUAGAAGAAUAUUUAGUGGUUAGUAGGUCUAUCAUCUCUCUAUUAACUCUUUAUUACCCUCAAAAGGCUUGACAGACAAAUUGACUCAACGUGCUAUUAACGUUAAGCGACCAGACCACCCUUUUCUUUGAGAUUUGGAGUGUCCCAGAUAGCAAAUAAAACAUUAUGUAAAUGAGGCUUAGGAUGCUCACCGGUCAUUUUGGAGUUAUCCGAUAAUGGGAGAGGGGAGUGAGACUCUCCUCAGCUAGGAGCUGAUCUGAA